UACGUAGGGUGCAAGCGUUUGUCCGGAAUUAUUGGGCGUAAAGAGCUCGUAGGCGGUUUGUUGCGUCGGCUGUGAAAUCCCGAGGCUCAACCUCGGGUCUGCAGUCGAUACGAGCAAACUAGAGUGUUGCAGGGGAGACUGGAAUUCCUGGUGUAGCGGUGAAAUGCGCAGAUAUCAGGAGGAACACCAAUGGGCGAAGGCAGCUCGCUGGAACGGUACUGACGCUGGAGGCGACGAAAGCCGUGGGGAGCGAACAGG
rnacentral:rRNA from 1 species